rnacentral:rRNA from 1 species
AGAUUGAACGCUGGCGGCAUGCCUAACACAUGCAAGUCGAACGGGAGUAGCAAUACUCUAGUGGCGGACGGGUGAGGAAUACGUAGGAAUUUGCCCUUAAGUGGGGGAUAACCCGGGGAAACCCGGAUUAAUACCGCAUGACCUCGAAAGAGCAAAGUGGGGGAUCGCAAGACCUCACGCUUUUGGAGAAGCCUACGUCGGAUUAGCUAGUUGGUGAGGUAAUGGCUCACCAAGGCGACGAUCCGUAACUGGUCUGAGAGGAUGGAUCAGUCACACCGGAACUGAGACACGGUCCGGACUCCUACGGGAGGCAGCAGUGGGAAUAUUGGAACAAGUCGGGCGCAAGCCGUGAUCCGAGCAAUCGCCGCGUGUCGUGAAGAAGGCCGUUCGGUUAGUAAGACCGUACGUUUUAA